GAUGAACGCUGGCGGCGUGCCUAAUACAUGCAAGUCGAGCGAACGGACGAGAAGCUUGCUUCUCUGAUGUUAGCGGCGGACGGGUGAGUAACACGUGGAUAACCUACCUAUAAGACUGGGAUAACUUCGGGAAACCGGAGCUAAUACCGGAUGAUAUUUUGAACCGCAUGGUUCAAAAGUGAAAGACGGUCUUGCUGUCACUUAUAGAUGGAUCCGCGCUGCAUUAGCUAGUUGGUAAGGUAACGGCUUACCAAGGCAACGAUGCAUAGCCGACCUGAGAGGGUGAUCGGCCACACUGGAACUGAGACACGGUCCAGACUCCUACGGGAGGCAGCAGUAGGGAAUCUUCCGCAAUGGGCAAAAGCCUGACGGAGCAACGCCGCGUGAGUGAUGAAGGUCUUCGGAUCGUAAAACUCUGUUAUUAGGGAAGAACAUAUGUGUAAGUAACUGUGCACAUCUUGACGGUACCUAAUCAGAAAGCCACGGCUAACUACGUG
rnacentral:rRNA from 1 species